GAGUUCUUCGGGUGAUUCUGGCGGAAUGAGCGGCGGACGGGUGAGUAACACGUGGGCAACCUGCCUGUAAGACUGGGAUAACUUCGGGAAACCGGAGCUAAUACCGGAUAGUAUUUCCUUUCUCCUGAUUGGAAAUGGAAAGACGGUUUCGGCUGUCACUUACAGAUGGGCCCGCGGUGCAUUAGCUAGUUGGUGGGGUAAUGGCCCACCAAGGCGACGAUGCAUAGCCGACCUGAGAGGGUGAUCGGCCACACUGGGACUGAGACACGGCCCAGACUCCUACGGGAGGCAGCAGUAGGGAAUCUUCCGCAAUGGACGAAAGUCUGACGGAGCAACGCCGCGUGAGCGAUGAAGGCCUUCGGGUCGUAAAGCUCUGUUGUCAGGGAAGAAUAAGUACAAGAGUAACUGCUUGUACCUUGACGGUACCUGACCAGAAAGCCCCGGCUAACUACGUGCCAGCAGCCGCGGUAAUACGUAGGGGGCAAGCGUUGUCCGGAAUUAUUGGGCGUAAAGGGCGCGUAUGCGGUUUCUUAAGUCUGAUGUGAAAGCCCACAGCUUAACUGUGGAGGGUCAUUGGAAACUGGGGAACUUGAGUGCAGA
rnacentral:rRNA from 1 species